UGGGGGAUAUUGCACAAUGGGGGGAACCCUGAUGCAGCGACGCCGCGUGAGUGAAGAAGCAUUUCGGUGUGUAAAGCUCUAUCAGCAGGGAAGAAGAAAUGACGGUACCUGAGUAAGAAGCCCCGGCUAACUACGUGCCAGCAGCCGCGGUAAUACGUAGGGGGCAAGCGUUAUCCGGAUUUACUGGGUGUAAAGGGAGCGUAGACGGUAGUGCAAGUCAGAUGUGAAAGCCCGGGGCUUAACCGCGGGACUGCAUUUGAAACUGUGCGACUGGAGUGCAGGAGAGGUAAGCGGAAUUCCUGGUGUAGCGGUGAAAUGCGUAGAUAUCAGGAGGAACACCAGUGGCGAAGGCGGCUUACUGGACUGUAACUGACGUUGAGGCUCGAAAGCGUGGGGAGCAAACAGG
rnacentral:rRNA from 1 species